rnacentral:rRNA from 1 species
UACGGAGGGUGCAAGCGUUAAUCGGAAUUACUGGGUGUAAAGCGCGCGUAGGCGGCGUAAUAAGUCGGCUGUGAAAGCCCUGGGCUCAACCUGGGAACUGCAUUCGAUACUGUCUGGCUAGAGUGUGGGAAAGGGUGGUGGAAUUCCCGGUGUAGCGGUGAAAUGCGUAGAUAUCGGGAGGAACAUCAGUGGCGAAGGCGACCGCCUGGCGCAACACUGACGCUGAGGUGCGAAAGCGUGGGUAGCAAACAGG